AGUACGCACGCAAGUGUGAAACUCAAAGGAAUUGACGGGGACCCGCACAAGUAGCGGAGCAUGUGGUUUAAUUCGAAGCAACGCGAAGAACCUUACCUAAGCUUGACAUCCCAUUGACCUCUCCCUAAUCGGAGAUUUCCCUUCGGGGACAGUGGUGACAGGUGGUGCAUGGUUGUCGUCAGCUCGUGUCGUGAGAUGUUGGGUUAAGUCCCGCAACGAGCGCAACCCUUGCCUUUAGUUGCCAGCAUUAAGUUGGGCACUCUAGAGGGACUGCCGAGGAUAACUCGGAGGAAGGUGGGGAUGACGUCAAAUCAUCAUGCCCCUUAUGCUUAGGGCUACACACGUGCUACAAUGGGUGGUACAGAGGGUUGCCAAACCGUGAGGUGGAGCUAAUCCCUUAAAGCCAUUCUCAGUUCGGAUUGUAGGCUGAAACUCGCCUACAUGAAGCUGGAGU
rnacentral:rRNA from 1 species